UAUUUUUCGAUCAUAAAAUGAACGAGUGUUUUUUGAGUUUUCGAUGACGUUGUCUCGAAUCUAUUAUUUUUUUAACAGAAACAGUAGUAAAACACGACCGGAUGGCGAGAACAUGAAGUACUAUAUUUUGGCGAUUGUCCAUUGUUAUCUAUACAGUGAUCUGGACGUGACUUUAGAGCAUGGCUAACAAACGAGGGCGAUAAUAAAAGAAUUGACGAUUAAAUCAAUUGCAAGCUAUUGAUAACAGCUAUAUGACAAAUCAGUGCAGCUAUAACUAUGGAUCUUGAUGAGAAUGACGAUAUGUGGUUACCAAAUUCUACUUCUGUUAAUUUUAUUCUAAAAGGCUCUUUUAGACAGAGUGUAGUUUUAUGCAGAAAGAAAAGUGGACUGUUUCUCUCUUUUAUCAUUGGUAUCUAUGAUUCAGGCGAAUCUAACCAAUCAAUAAUUUUGUUCAAUUUGAUUUCAAUAAAAGAAAACGAGCUACAAUGAGUAUUCUAAUGUGGUGAUGAAUUUAAGAUGGAUUAUUUAUUGAUCAAUUUUAUUCUGGUUAUAUUGUUAUAUCGUUCAUGGACAUAUUUCACCACAAUUACUGAAUAUGAAUUACAUUUACUUAUUAUGCCCCUAGGCAGAGCAUUUAGUGGUUUAACAAAGAUCACAGAGAAACAAAAGAUUAUCAAAGAAAAGUAUAGUUUUGUUAGAACAUUAUUCUAAACUUUUUUAAACAAAAAACCCACUUUAU